rnacentral:rRNA from 1 species
GAUGAACGCUGGCGGCGUGCCUAACACAUGCAAGUCGAGCGCACAGACGAGGCUUUUGUUCCUCUGACGUUAGCGGCGGACGGGUGUGUAACACGUGUAUCCCCCACCUAUCAUACUGGGAUCACUUCGGGACACGGGCUCUAAUACCGGAUAAUCUAUUCAACCGCAUGGUGCAAUUGUAAAAGAUGGUUUUGCUGGCACUUAUAGAUGGAUCCGCGCCGCAUUAGCUAGUUGUUAAGGUAAAGGCUUACCAAGGCAACAAUGCGUAGCCGACCUGUGAGGGUGAGCGGCCGCCCUGGAACUGGGACACGGUCAAACCUCCUAGGGGAGGAAGCAGUAGGGAAGCUUCCACAAUGGGCGAAAGCCUGACGGAGCAACGCCGCGUGGGUGAGUAAGGUCUUCGGAUCUUAGAGCUCUGUUAUUAGGGAGGAAAAAAUGUGUAAGUAACUAUGCACGUCUUGACGGUACCUAAUCAGAAAGCCACGGCUAACUACGUG